UGCCUGUACCAUAACCGACACAGGUGGGUAGGUAGAGUAUACUAAGGGGCGCGAGAUAACUCUCUCUAAGGAACUCGGCAAAAUGACUCCGUAACUUCGGGAGAAGGAGUGCCUUAUUUAUAAGGUUGCAAUAACAAGAUCCAAGCAACUGUUUAUCAAAAACACAGGUCUCCGCUAAGUCGUAAGACGAUGUAUGGGGGCUGACGCCUGCCCAGUGCCAGAAGGUUAAAGAAGUUGGUUAGUGUAUGCGAAGCUGAUGACUGAAGCCCUGGUGAACGGCGGCCGUAACGAUAACGGUCCUAAGGUAGCGAAAUUCCUUGUCGGGUAAGUUCCGACCCGCACGAAAGGCGUAAUGAUUUGGAUACUGUCUCGGAGAGAGGCUCGGUGAAAUAGACUUGUCUGUGAAGAUGCGGACUACCUGCACCAGGACAGAAAGACCCUAUGAAGCUUUACUGUAACUUGAAAUUGGAAUUGGACUUUGCUUGCGCAGUAUAGGUGGGAAGCGUUGAAGAUAUUCUUGCGGGAGUAUUGGAGCUAUCAGUGAGAUACCACUCUUGUAAUGUUAGAUUUCUAACUUUGAACCAUAAUCUGGUCAAAGAACAGUUUCAGGUGGGCAGUUUGACUGGGGCGGUCGCCUCCCAAAUGGUAACGGAGGCGUACAAAGGUUUCCUCUGAACGGAUAGAAAUCGUAUCUAGAGUGUAAAGGCAUAAGGAAGCUUGACUGUGAGACCUACAAGUCGAGCAGGGACGAAAGUCGGUCUUAGUGAUCUGACGGUACUGAGUGGAAAGGCCGUCACUCAACGGAUAAAAGUUACUCUAAGGAUAACAGGCUGAUCUCCCCCAAGAGUUCACAUCGACGGGGAGGUUUGGCACCUCGAUGUCGGCUCAUCGCAUCCUGGGGCGGUAGUACGUCCCAAGGGUUGGGCUGUUCGCCCAUGAAAGCGGUACGCGAGCUGGGUUCAGAACGUCGUGAGACAGUUCGGUCCAUAUCCGGUGUAGGCGUUAGAAUAUUGAGAGGAGCCUUCUUUAGUACGAGAGGACCGAGAAGGACACACCGCUGGUGUACCAGUUAUCGUGCCAACGGUAAACGCUGGGUAGCUAUGUGUGGAGUGGAUAACCGCUGAAAGCAUCUAAGUGGGAAGCCCACCUCAAGAUGAGUAUUCUCAUCACUAUAAGUGAGUAAGGUCACGGUAAGACUAACCGUUUGAUAGGCAUUAAGUGUAAAUGUAGUAAUGCAUGUGCUGAGAUGUCCUAACAGACCGAGGAC
rnacentral:rRNA from 1 species